rnacentral:rRNA from 1 species
GACGUAGGGCGCAAGCGUUGUCCGGAUUUAUUGGGCGUAAAGAGCUCGUAGGCGGCUCGUUGCGUCGGCUGUGAAAACCCGCAGCUCAACUGUGGGCUUGCGGUCGAUACGGGCAUCACUGGAGUUCGGCAGGGGAGACUGGAAUUCCUGGUGUAGCGGUGAAAUGCGCAGAUAUCAGGAGGAACACCGGUGGCGAAGGCGGGUCUCUGGGCCGAUACUGACGCUGAGGAGCGAAAGCGUGGGGAGCAAACAGG